UACGGAGGGAGCUAGCGUUGUUCGGAAUUACUGGGCGUAAAGCGCACGUAGGCGGCUUUGCAAGUUAGAGGUGAAAGCCCGGGGCUCAACUCCGGAAUUGCCUUUAAAACUGCAUCGCUAGAGUUGUGGAGAGGUAAGUGGAAUUCCGAGUGUAGAGGUGAAAUUCGUAGAUAUUCGGAAGAACACCAGUGGCGAAGGCGACUUGCUGGACACAUACUGACGCUGAGGUGCGAAAGCGUGGGGAGCAAACAGG
rnacentral:rRNA from 1 species